GACGGAGGGGGCGAGCGUUGUUCGGAAUGACUGGGCGUAAAGCGCGCGUAGGCGGUGCAGCAAGUGGUGAGUGAAAGCCCUCGGCUUAACCGGGGAAGGGCUUGCCAGACUGCUGGACUCGAGUGCCGGAGGGGGAGGCGGAAUUCCUGGUGGAGCGGUGAAAUGCGUAGAGAUCAGGAAGAACGUCGGUGGCGAAGGCGGCCUCCUGGACGGACACUGACGCUGAGGUGCGACAGCGUGGGGAGCGAACGGG
rnacentral:rRNA from 1 species